rnacentral:rRNA from 1 species
GAGAAGGUUCCAAGGGUUCGGCUGUUCGCCGAUUAAAGGUGGCACGCGAGCUGGGUUCAGAACGUCGUGAGACAGUUCGGUCCCUAUCUGUGGUGGGCGUUGGAUGUUUGACAGGACCUGACUUUAGUACGAGAGGACCGAGUUGGACCAGCCGCUGGUGCACCGGUUGUCCCGCCAGGGGCAGCGCCGGGUAGCUACGCUGGGAGGAGAUAAGCGCUGAAAGCAUCUAAGUGCGAAACUCACCUGGAGAUGAGACAUCCCAAUUAUUAAGGUUCGUGGAAGAUGACCACGUUGAUAGGCAGCAGGUGGAAGGGCAGAAAUGUCUGAGCUGAGCUGUACUAAGGAACCGAGGGCUUC